AUUGAACGCUGGCGGCAGGCCUAACACAUGCAAGUCGAGCGGAUGACGGGAGCUUGCUCCUUGAUUCAGCGGCGGACGGGUGAGUAAUGCCUAGGAAUCUGCCUGGUAGUGGGGGACAACGUUUCGAAAGGAACGCUAAUACCGCAUACGUCCUACGGGAGAAAGCAGGGGACCUUCGGGCCUUGCGCUAUCAGAUGAGCCUAGGUCGGAUUAGCUAGUUGGUGGGGUAAUGGCUCACCAAGGCGACGAUCCGUAACUGGUCUGAGAGGAUGAUCAGUCACACUGGAACUGAGACACGGUCCAGACUCCUACGGGAGGCAGCAGUGGGGAAUAUUGGACAACGGGCGAAAGCCUGAUCCAGCCAUGCCGCGUGUGUGAUGAAGGUCUUCGGAUUGUAAAGCACUUUAAGUUGGGAGGAAGGGCAGUAAGUUAAUACCUUGCUGUUUUGACGUUACCGACAGAAUAAGCACCGGCUAACUCUGUGCCAGCCGCCGCGGUAA
rnacentral:rRNA from 1 species